rnacentral:rRNA from 1 species
AAUGAACGUUGGCGGCGUGGAUUAGGCAUGCAAGUCGCGCGACAAGGAACCUUCGGGUUCUGGAGGAGCGGCAAACGGGGUAGUAAGGCAUCGGAACGUACCCUCUUGUUGGGAAUAGCCGCGGGAAACUGCGAGUAAUGCCCAAUAAUCCCUACGGGGCAAAGGUCCGCCGCAGGAGGAGCGGCCGAUGUGAUACCAGCUAGUUGGUGAGGUAAUGGCUCACCAAGGCUUAGACGUCUAGGGGGUGUGAGAGCAUGGCCCCCACCACUGGGACGUGAGAUACUGCCCACGACACCUACGGGUGGGCUGCAGUCGAGAAUCUUCGGCAAUGGGCGGCAAGACCUCGACCGAGCAACGCCGCGUGCGGGAGUGAA